rnacentral:rRNA from 1 species
UACGUAGGGUGCGAGCGUUGUCCGGAAUUACUGGGCGUAAAGAGCUCGUAGGUGGUUUGUCGCGUUGUUCGUGAAAACUCACAACUCAAUUGUGGGCGUGCGGGCGAUACGGGCAGACUGGAGUACUGCAGGGGAGACUGGAAUUCCUGGUGUAGCGGUGGAAUGCGCAGAUAUCAGGAGGAACACCGGUGGCGAAGGCGGGUCUCUGGGCAGUAACUGGCGCUGAGGAGCGAAAGCGUGGGGAGCGAACAGG